rnacentral:rRNA from 1 species
GUCUACGGCCAUACUAACCCGAAAAAGCCCGAUACCGUCUGAUCUCAGAAGCUAAGCAGGGUUGGGCCUGGUUAGUACUUGGAUGGGAGACCACCUAGGAAGACCAGGUGCUGUAGGCA